AGUGACUGUGCCUUCUACUGCUCUGCCUGAAGAGGGGACAGGCAGAAUGAAUACCUAAAAGUCUGAAAAUCCACUGCAAAAUAUAAAUUGAAGCCUUGAGAACUGCCUACACUUACUUAAAGGAUAAAAAUGUUAAAAAAUCAGGAGAAGAUUUACCCAUCGUGGCUGCACCAACCUGAAUUACUGCCCACAGCCAUCUUCUAGCAUUACCAGUCAUCGAGGCUGAAAUACCAGUAUUGUGAUUGCCAUCAUUCUCCAAGAAGCAUUUGUACUGGUAAAGGCAUUAUGAAAAACCAACCAACCAAACAAAACCAUAAGAGUUUUUCUGAUUAAUAUGAACAGUAUAGCAGGACCAAAAUUCCAUCACUUUAUUCGGGGUCUUUGAGGAGCAGACAGAACCAAGUUUCUGAAGAAUUGCCUCUUUCAUCUCUCAGAAAACUGAGCCUGUAAUUAUAUUCCACAUCCUGCUACAGACAGCUUUUAUAUCAUUGCCAGGCACUUGUUCUUCCUAGCUGAAGGACAGAGCUGCAUAGUUCACCAUGUCAAGCUCAUGUAUUUAUGGUUCAAAGGGCUCUCCUCACCCCCAGACUUGAAGCUUACAGAGGAAUCCAAGGAUUUCAUUUCCUACCUGAAAAACUGUGCAGUGAAGUACUGUUGACUAUACAGAAGAACUUGCCUCUGAGAAAGAGGCUCCCAGGAAGAAAAACUUCAAAAACUGUAAUAUUGCAACAAGCCAUGAAACAACUGACUGACAAUUCUUACCACUGACAUUUAGGAAGAAAAUAUCUGUUCUGAGAAACACGCUGUAUUUGACAUAUACCUUUAAUAAAAUAAAGCCUAAGUGAUCCAUCUCAUAGGAUUAUAUUACUCUCUGUGAUCUGUAGUUCUGACCCAAAUCUGGCAUCUAGUGUUCUCUGAUACACCUGCAUGGCAUCAACUUGGACUAUAAUAGCUUCUCCUUGUGUUACCUGGUCAUCAUGUGCUUCUGAUUUAGCUCUAUUUGGGUCUACAGUCAGCCUCAAAGAAAAACAACUGCUCCUUUGGUAGGGGAAAUGAUUAUCUUCCCUAUGCCUGGAAAGACUGGAUGGAUCUGGAGAUUUAGCCGUCCCUUUAUUUAAUGACAUCUUCAAAUGCCAAAUAAACGUGUAGGUUUUUUAACACCAGACAGAGUUGUCAUUUGGGCAGUUAAAGCUAUGCCUGCUUUGUCUCUCAGGACUACAAUACUAAAACAAUAUCAAACUCAAAAGACACCUCAAUUUCAACAUAAAAUCCUACUGAAAGCAGAAAAUGAAGAGUUUUCAUCUCAGUGGAAAGCACUUUCUUCAGGAAAAACACCUUGAUAAUGUAAGUACAAAAUAUAGAAUGGCCUUGGAAAGUCAGAUAGUUUUGCUUCUUUUAACAAGUUCUGAUGAGUAGCUCUUCAAAUGAGCAUCUAAAUGUAAUUAAGUUGGAAUUUCAAGGCAAACAAUUACAAAAGAUAUUUUAGAUAGCAUAUUGGUGUAGAUGAAAAGUAUCAAAAUACUAUUUACUUCUUGGCAGAAAAAUGUGCUUUCCUUCUCUCAGGAUGCCCAACUCUAUUUCAGCCUGACAGCCCUGCAGUCACUCACACAAACUAGACAGCUCUCCUUGUUGUAGUUACAAUAUUGGAAAUGCAGGUGUUAUAUCUCAGUAAGUACUUGAAGAACCUGAUAUAUUUUCAUGUGUCUAUUUCAGUUUUCAUUUCACACAAGCGGUUAAUAAGGACUGAACCACUUAGUCUAUUCUUCUAAUAUAUUCAUUCCAAAACCCAUGGCCAGAUCGGUCGCCAGUGUGAUGUGACCAACCCUGUUCUCAGCAUGCUCACUGACUGAAAAUACGGUCAGCAUCUGAAAAGAAAAAAUGCUUGGUGGAAUUGCUGUGGAGCAAUAAUUAUAUUUCUGAUGGGUAAAGCGAGGACUGGGUGCUGAUGCUGCAGGCUACUCAAGGAUGGUUAAUUGUAUUCAUGGACUAUUUGUAAGACAGCAAGCUGCCAAAACCUCAGACAUUUCCAACAUAGUAAUUCGGGAAUGCUGUAGUAAAUAGGAGAAAACAGAUGUCAUAAUGUGUUUCAUCUAGUUUAAAACUUAAAAUGUAAUUAACUUAAUGGCUUGACAAUAGCUGAUGUAGCAACAAAUAUAAUGCAAUUGAAUUAGUAUCUCAUUAUGACAUCGAAUUUUUCUACAUAUGCACUACCAAAAUAAGAUCAGAUUUUGAGAUGUUGAUGUAUCUUAUGGUGAUUGCCCUUGAUAUGCUAUCGCAUGUAACACUUCCUUUGUAUUUCAUCACUUGUGAAAAUUAUUUCACUUUUAUAACACUAUACUUCUGUGCUCUUUCCAUUACAUCACAAGUGAAAGCUGUUCCUCGCUUUAUUGUUUCAGAGGCUUCUGUCUGGGCACUUGGGAUUUCACAUUCAUUGCACAGGAUAAAGCUUUCAUUUUCUCUAUCUUUUGUACUGCUUGGCUGUUUGGCCAAAGCAUCGUAGGCGAUUAUCACAGUCCUUUCACAUCUGUUCUGAAUAUUUCUUACGGUAGACUUCAGGUGCUCUGCUCUGCACACAAAGCAGUGUGCUGUGACAGAGGCCUGUGCGUGUAUUAUUUUGGACUUCCUGAAGGCUCCUCAAGGUAUUACUGUAAUUAAUUAAUUAUAAUUAACGUAAUUGAAUUAAAUUGGAAAAACAAAAUGAAACAAAGCAAAAAACUCUUUGAAUUGUGAAACUGAUUUUUCAAAUGACUCAGGCCUUCUCAACUAACCAGGCUACUAUGCCCCUUUUAAUAAUACUGAAACCUGUUACAGCAAAAUCUGAAAGUAAAACGGUCUGAGUGGCCUAACGCAGAUCUGACUAACAUUUACAUUGUUCUCCAUUCAUGUAGAUGAGGUCCUUGAUGCUAACCAGAAAGUGGCCCCCUGCUCCCCUGCUGCUGUGGGUAAUUCCAGCUAGCUUUUUCACCGUGCAGUGGUAUUAUUAGGAAGGAAGGAUCAGUAAAAAGGAAUCUGCAACCUGAUCUGGUGCUGAGGAAUGCCUUCUGAAUGUGUUAUUUGAAUUUAGUUAUUACUUCUGGGAGGUGUGAACAUUCUGCAUGGCUCUUCAUUCAAAACCUGAAAUUGACUGUGAAGAGUACUAAAAAAGUUAUGCAAGCCUUCAUGCAAUUAAGCAAAGUAGUUUCAAAAAGGUAAUUAUAUGCAGUACAUCAUGAUAGCCAAAAAAUACAUUAUGUGAUGGAUGUUCCUUGCAUUGCAUUACUUUUGAUGGUCCAUUUUCUGGAUUUUAAAAUUAUCAAUAAAUGUAUGUAUAUGUUUGGAUUUAGAUCCUGCACACUUAGUUGAUUUUUUGUUGUUGUUUUUAAACUACAUUUGCUCCCUCGUGGAUGUUGCUCCAUCUCCAUUUCUAAAAUGCUGAAUGGGCAGAUUGUUUCUAUCAAGUAUUUUACAUGAACUGUUAACGAAGUGUGAACAAUAGGGGACUGUCAACUAAAUGGUUCUCAGGAAUUGCAAAGUUAAGUGAUAUAGAAGCCCUACUCAAGGAAAUUCAGCUUUUUAUUGCACCUAGCAGGAGAUUUUAAGGAAUAUUACAAACUGACCAAUUGCAGGGAAGUAUGACAGAUGUCUGAGAGUAAAUGCUUAUAAGCCCCGCAUACUGUACUGAUGAACUGCUAUGCAAUUCCUUCUUUAACACGAACCUGAAUAGGAGAAAAUCUUACAUGGUGAAAUUUAUAAAUUUCUAAGAAAUUCAUUGGAGACCCUAUCCAGCAGGGGUCAGAAUGAAAAAGGGAAACAGUGGUACUUGCUGAGGCUGACAGCUAAAGGCACAGAUCUAUCAGUCACUCAGCGUCUGUUCAGCAUUCUUUUCAGCACAGAUCAUUUGGUUUUGAUUUUCCAAACAAGCGUAGUUACCUACAGUGCACACCCACCCAGUUGUUCAUGCUGUGUGUUUGAUUGUCACACAAUGCUCCUUUAGAGAACCUUCACCUUUGAUAUCAGUUCAGCAAGUAAAACAACACUGAUUGGAGUCAGCAUUGUCUAUCCCCACGGUUUUUCAGAGGAAAAGUUCAUUAGCUGCUUCACAUGCCAAGGGACCAGCUGUCCUGCAGCACAUGGAGCAGCUCUG
ensembl:lncRNA